AUUGAACGCUGGCGGCAGGCCUAACACAUGCAAGUCGAGCGAGCGGCGGACGGGUGAGUAAUGUCUGGGAAUCUGCCCGAUGGAGGGGGAUAACUACUGGAAACGGUAGCUAAUACCGCAUACUAUCGGAUGUACCCAGAUGGGAUUAGCUAGUAGGUGGGGUAAAGGCUCACCUAGGCGACGAUCCCUAGCUGGUCUGAGAGGAUGAGCAGCAACACUGGGACUGAGACACGGCCCAGACUCCUACGUGAGGCAGCAGUGGGGAAUAUUGCACAAUGGGCGCAAGCCUGAUGCAGCCAUGCCGCAUGUAUGAAGAAGGCCUUAGGGUUGUAAAGUACUUUCAGCGGGGAGGCGUUACCCGCAGAAGAAGCACCGGCUAACUCCGUGCCAGCAGCCGCGGUAAUUC
rnacentral:rRNA from 1 species